GAGAGAUGAUGAUGAUGAUGAUGAUGAUGAGAAAGGUGGUAUUUAGCACAAGGUUGCACAUUAUAAUUAUCAUUGUUGUUAUUAUCAUCAUCAUCUUAAAUC
rnacentral:miRNA from 1 species